rnacentral:lncRNA from 1 species
UUAAAUCUCUCUUAAUUUAUUUUUUGGGCAAAUUAGACCCAAACAUAAUAAAUGUCGCAUAAUUCUUAUUUCAUAAAAAAUAAAUAAAAAUAAACAACUAUAAAUACUUUCUUUUAUUUGAAAUCUUUUAAAAUAUUUGAAUCUCCAAAUUACUUUUAAAUUUUUAUUCAUUGAAAUAUGAGUUUUUAAAUUUCUUUUUGGGCCUUAGUUGUCCAAUUAAGUCUUGAUUGAUUUGCGUUAUAAGUCCAAUGAUAAUUUGAUUUUGAUAUUGAAUUUUCACAUUCUAUCUUUAUUUUUAUAUUUAUUUUUUUCAUUUGGAAAUCAGAAAAAUAUAAAAUUAAAAAAAAUGGCAAGAAUUAAAUUUUAUGGAGAAAAAUUCGAACUGGGUUCGGAUAGAGUUAUGCGAUUAUUUUGAGAUUGAAGCAAUGAUUAACGUAACUAAAAUUCUAAUUGAUUUGGAGUUCUAUUGCAAUUGGAUGAAUGCCCUAUAAAGAAUCAUAAAGAAGAAGGGGCAACAAUCAGCACAAAGAUAGACGAAUAAUCGAGAGUGAUUCAAACGAGACAAUUGAAAAAACAGGGAAUUGAACGAAAAUUCAGAACAAGAAAAUAUGAAAACAAAAAAAUCUACUCUACCGUCCCCAAUUCCUCAUCAGCCUAACCAAACCAAACCCCAUUGCCACAGCCCAUAGCAAUUCCCAACAGAAGUAACCACACAGCAAAGAUAAUCAAGAUACAUUCCCAGCAAUUCAGAGCCAUGCAAUUAACAAACCCAGAAUUACCCAUACCCAGCAAGCAUAAAUUCAAACCUAGAAACACCAACCGGAGUCUAGCAAUAAACUAUAGACAUCCCCCAAAAAAAAAUCGUGAAUGAUCUUUUAGGGUUUUGAUCCAUUAGGAGUUUUGGGUCAAGGGUUUUUUGGUGUUUUGAAUAGAACCGGAGUUGGGAGUUGGUAGAGAAUGCCAACAGCAAAAGGUAGAAUCGGCGACUGAAGAUUUCGAUUUUUUUUUGUCAUCGUUUUAAACCUUGGUUAUAGGAUGGAGUAAUAGAGAAAGACAAAAGAGCGACGGCGAUUUCAGGGCAGCCUCAAUGGUAGAAAAAGGUGAAACUCGCAAAGUAGUGAUUUAGAUCUAGGAUAUUAGGAACAGUCUUAGGGAAAGCCAAUUGAAUAAAGGUAUUUAGCACGUGAAGAGGAAGAUUGUGGAGGCUUUUGGGUGGAAACUGGCGAGCCAAGCGGUGGCCAGUGGUUGCGCACGGUGGGGCUGCGGUCGAGACGGUCGGUUUCUGGGUUUUCAUCGUCGUUGUUAUUGGGAGGUUUGAACGAAGAGAGACGCGAGUUCUAGAAAAAUAAGAAUGUGAGAAAUGUUAAAAGAGGAUUCUUUUUUGGAAUUUAUGGUGCCUUCAAAACUCAGCGUUUUGGACAAAAGAAGACAGACUGGAUCGGCUUAACCCAUGCCUGAACCCG